CCGAUCCCCUAAAGAGAUCAACCCCAAGUUUAGAAUCUGCAAGGGUUCUAACACCUGAUAUCAGAGCAACGUUCUUGGUGUCUCGCUGCCCUUCCACAGCCAUCCAUCAACCCUCCACAACCGCUCAAAGCAAUUCCCACAAUUGCUUAAAAGAUCGUCACCAAAUUCUGUCGUCAUCUCCACCACCACGGAUCAUCCUUUGAUCUCCCCGUGAAUUGCAAUAGGUUCUGGUUUUCUAC
rnacentral:lncRNA from 1 species